GCUGGAUUUGGUGGUGUGCACCUGUAGUCCCCGCUUUUAGGGAGGCUGAGGCAGAAGGAUCACUUGACUCCAGGAGUUCUGGUCUGUAGUUGUGGUAUACUGUGCCAAUCAGUUUCCACACUAAGUUUGGCAUCAAUAUGGUGACCUGUAGGGGGUGAAGGGGGAGCGCCAGGUUGCCUAAGGAGGGGUGAACCAGACCAGGUCCAGAACGGAGCAGGUCAAAACUCAUGUGCUGAUCAGUAGUGGGAUCACUCCUAUGAAUAGCUACUGCACUCCAGCCUAGGCAACAUAGUGAUACCCUAGCUCUU
rfam:Otolemur garnettii contig004758, whole genome shotgun sequence.